UAGUCAAACUCAUGGUGCUUUGAAAGU
rnacentral:piRNA from 1 species